rnacentral:misc_RNA from 1 species
CUGCGGCUACUGCAUAGACGAGCGGUGGCUGCUGCCGCUGCACAGAUCUGGCCCUCCCUCGCGCAAACUCCGUUCCGCGUGGCUCCCUCGCCUCCCAACGUUCCGUGCGGCUCCCCCGCCUCUGGCCAAAUCCAACAACGACAUCGACAUAGUGGUCUCCCACUCUCCCAUUCGAUUCAGUGGCUAUCUUCUCACCGGUUUGAAGAUUAUGCGUCAUCGAACACCUGUUCUGUUAGACUAGCUUGUGCCGGCGCUGUCCGGUGUUAG